CACAGUCGGGGGCCACGGGGGAACACAACACAGCGCUUCCCCCACCUCAUUAACAGUGGCUGUGCUCUGUGAACGUCAGGGACGCACUGGCUUCACUGCUUAUGAAUAAUAAAUAUCAGCCAGGCUCCCAGUUGCUCCGUGGUUCAAGGCCAAGUGGACACCUACCUGCUCGGUUGAGACCCACACGGGCCAGGGAGUGACACUUGCAGUUCAGAGCUUGCCUUAUGGCCCUCACCAAGAGGUCCUGGCCAAAGCAGAUUUCCCUGGAUUUGUUACACCGGUUUGUGUGGCUGGCACUGUAGUGCUAGUUUGUCCAGCGCUGUUAACAGAUGUGUCUGCUGAUGAGAGGUGGAGAGCUUUACCAAGCUGGCUUUGAGCUGUCAGAAGCAGAACGUGCACACCCCAAAAUGAUCUUGAGGACCUCAUGAUCUCAGAAAAAGGGGAGCACGUUUUACCCACCAUCCAGCAUCCUUCCGAACUGCUAAACUAACUGGCUCAGAAGUCUCCAGAUUACUUCAAAUUUCGGUUGAGGGAAAAGCUGAGUGGCAUCAGGACAACAGCCCUCCUGGGGGUUGCAAAAGGACACGGUGUGAGGGAGGGAUCUCUCCACGGCGCCGCCUCUUCUGCACUGUGUGUGUGACUCCAGAUGCCCUGUUUGCUCUGCUUGGCUCCUUCUGGGAAGGAGGGAGAUGAGGCCACUGGGCCCGGCCUCUUCUCGCCGAUUUCCCAAUCUUACUUACUUGUCUCAGGGUGCCCAUAAAGACUCCACCAGCAACUGCUACUGCUAAUGUGAAGCACUGUGACCUUGAGUCCUCGGAUAGUGCUGGCUCCACUCUGCAGCACAGCCAUGGCUCCAUGCGAAAAAUGCUGAGUAAGAAAUAGCAUCAGUGGAGAACGCGACACCACAGGGACUCUGGCUGAAAAUCAGGAAAAAAGCAACAGAAAAGAUCACUGAUGGUCAGCAGUAAGUAGUUAAUAAUGUGGCCAACAGAUGAAGGUCUAGCAUUU
rnacentral:lncRNA from 1 species